UGGUUCGUUAAAUGUCAAAUUUGUCAAAACUAAUAAAAGCACAUUGGGGUUAUUGUUAAUUUUAUUUGUGAAUUUCAGCAUUUCUAUUACUAUCUCGCACGCAAUACUAAUUAUCGAUAAGCGCUACGUCGACAGUUUGCAAACAAUGGAGCUGAUCAUUUGAUUCGGCGGCAAAAUUCUAUGGAAUUCAUCUUCCUAACACGGAAGCCAAAUAAUAGAAUCCGCAGUGACAAGUAUGUGUAGAAAUGAGAUGUGACGCGUGCGGUGUCCGCACGCUCCGUACGGAACGGAGGACUGAGGGCCGCGAGGAGCCAGGGGACUGCGACCCUCUCAUACACUCCCCCACUGUCGCUCAGGAGGAGCCCUACGAUAAUCGUAACUUAUCGUGCGGUAUCUGCGCUAUGUUCCCGUCGUGCAUGUCGCUGUUGUCGCGCCGGCCGGACAGCCAGCCGCCGCGGCCCGGACAGGCGGCCGUCGUGCUCAACGUUUACGACAUGUAUUGGACCAACUGGUACACGGCGGGUGCUGGCGUGGGCGUGUUCCACAGCGGCGUGCAGGUUCACGGCUCGGAGUGGGCGUACGGCGGGCAUCCGUACGCGUUCACGGGAGUGUUCGAGAUCUCGCCGAGGGACGAGCGCGAGUUGGGGGAGCAGUUCCGUUUCAGACAGAGCGUGCACAUAGGCUACACGGACUUCAGCGAGGAGGAGGUGCGGCGGCUCGUCACGGAACUCGGCAAGCAGUUCAGAGGUGACAGAUACCAUCUAAUGAACAACAACUGCAAUCAUUUCACAUCAGCAUUCUGUCAGGCGCUAUGUUCACGUGAUAUCCCCGCGUGGGUGAACCGGCUCGCGUACGUGAGCUCCUGCGUGCCUUUCCUACAGCGGUGUCUACCAAAAAAUUUCGUGUGAUGAAUGGAAUAUAGUUAUAAGUUGGCAGCGCUGAGGCGGUGAGUGAGGUGGUGGGUUGUUGUUGUGCAGGGAGUGGCUGACGCCGGCGGCGCUGCAGCAGUCCCUGGCGGCGCACUCGCGCUCCUCCUCGCCGCAGACGCCGCACACGCCCAACACGCCCACCACGCCGCAAUAGCAACAGGAUGUACUGCGAAUGCGCAGAUGAGCAGUCAGAAGUGUUGUGCGAACUAAUACCUAGAUCUAAUGUUAGAUAAUAGUCGGUUUGGCGCAUUGUCAAGUGUCGCGGGACGCGGGGAGGCUAGCGGGUCCUCUGUCCUUUUCUAUCUAACCAGGGUAGAAAGAGACAGAAGAUCGUUGUAAACUGUAAAGGACGUGCGGGUCUAUUGUGAACGGUUUAAAUUUGGAACAUUGGUUUUAAAUUUAGAACAUUGGUUUUAAAUUGAGGACAUUGGUUUUAAAUUUAGAAUAAUUUGGAAUCUCAAAUUAGUAACGGAUUUUUUUAGUAUAAACGUUGGGUAUCGUAUGCGAAAGCAACGAAGACUUAAAUAAAAUUCGAAUUUUUGAAAAUUAAAGGUACUAAAAUUUGGAAUGUCGGAAUUAGCGCCCCCGGUCCCUGUGUUAGCCUGUUACAUUGUUAUAUUUCGAAACGACAUAAUUGUAUGAAUAAUAUACUUAUGAAUUACGCGUGAUCGUGAUGUGACUGAUAUCCCAAUAAUAUUAAUGCAAAAUAAUUAAAUAUUCGUUGCUCAAAUGCACACUGCUUGACCGGUUUGGAUUUUUGGUGGACAGAGUCUGUUUUGAUAGACAUUAGUUUGUCUAUGGAUUUACAGUGAUUUGUGUUACGUACGCGAUGUAAUUGAAUAUUUUUGUUUAAAUAAGACCGUGGGUCAAAAAUUAUCCGCUUAAAGUAAUCAAUGGUUUUAGAAUUUAAAAUUGAAAUUUAUUUUAAACGUGUCAAAUAUGGAACAAGAUCGUCGAUUUGGUCGCAAUUAUUUAUACAUUGACCUCGCUAAAAUCCAGUCCAAUGACGCUAUUUAAAUAAAUUAACAAUUAUUUUACACGAAUUAUAGAUUUUUUAAACUUUCAAUUAAUAAUUUAUAAAAUCUUUUCAAUACAUUAUCUUUAA